rnacentral:rRNA from 1 species
CCUACGGGGGGCAGCAGUGGGGAAUAUUGCACAAUGGGGGAAACCCUGAUGCAGCGACGCCGCGUGAGUGAAGAAGUAUUUCGGUAUGUAAAGCUCUAUCAGCAGGGAAGAAAUAGCGACCUUUGGGUCGCCAGACGGUACCUGACUAAGAAGCCCCGGCUAACUACGUGCCAGCAGCCGCGGUAACACGUAGGGGGCAAGCGUUAUCCGGAUUUACUGGGUGUAAAGGGAGCGUAGACGGCAGGACAAGUCUGAAGUGAAAUGCCGGGGCUUAACCCCGGAACUGCUUUGGAAACUGUGCAGCUAGAGUGCAGGAGAGGUAAGUGGAAGUCCUAGUGUAGCGGUGAAAUGCGUAGAGAUUAGGAAGAACACCAGUGGCGAAGGCGGCUUUCUGGACUGAAACUGACGCUGAGGCUCGAAAGCGUGGGGAGCAAACAGGAUUAGAUACCCGGGUAGUC